AUUGAACGCUGGCGGAAUGCUUUACACAUGCAAGUCGAACGGCAGCACGGGGGCAACCCUGGUGGCGAGUGGCGAACGGGUGAGUAAUACAUCGGAACGUGCCCAGUCGUGGGGGAUAACGUAGCGAAAGUUACGCUAAUACCGCAUACGAUCUACGGAUGAAAGCGGGGGACCGUAAGGCCUCGCGCGAUUGGAGCGGCCGAUGUCAGAUUAGGUAGUUGGUGAGGUAAAGGCUCACCAAGCCGACGAUCUGUAGCUGGUCUGAGAGGACGACCAGCCACACUGGGACGGAGAAACGGCCCAGACUCCUACGGGAGGCAGCAGUGGGGAAUUUUGGACAAUGGGCGCAAGCCUGAUCCAGCCAUUCCGCGUGCAGGACGAAGGCCUUCGGGUUGUAAACUGCUUUUGUACGGAACGAAAAGGCUCUGGUUAAUACCUGGGGCUCAUGACGGUACCGUAAGAAUAAGCACCGGCUAACUACGUGCCAGCAGCCGCCGUAA
rnacentral:rRNA from 1 species